rnacentral:rRNA from 1 species
GACGAACGCUGGCGGCGUGCUUAACACAUGCAAGUCGAACGGUGAAGCGCCUUCCUUUUUGGUGGGUGUGGAUGAGUGGCGAACGGGUGAGUAACACGUGAGUAACCUGCCCCCUUCUUCUGGAUAACCGCAUGAAAGUGUGGCUAAUACGGGAUAUUCUGGGUCUGUCGCAUGAUGGGUCUGGGAAAGAUAUUGUUUCGGUGGGGGAUGGGCUCGCGGCCUAUCAGCUUGUUGGUGGGGUGAUGGCCUACCAAGGCGGUGACGGGUAGCCGGCCUGAGAGGGUGGACGGUCACACUGGGACGGAGACACGGCCCAGACUCCUACGGGAGGCAGCAGUGGGGAAUAUUGCACAAUGGGCGAAAGCCUGAUGCAGCGACGCCGCGUGAGGGAUGGAGGCCUGCGGGUUGUGAACCUCUUUCGCCAGUGAAGCAGGCCUGCCUCGUUUGUGGGUGGGUUGACGGUAGCUGGAGAAGAAGCGCCGGCUAACUACGUG